AUACGAAGGGUGCGAGCGUUACUCGGAGUCACUGGGCGUAAAGCGUCCGUAGGCGGUCGGGUAAGUCGGGUGUGAAAGCCCCGGGCUCAACCUGGGAAGUGCACCCGAUACUGCUCGACUCGAGUGCGGGAGAGGAUGGCGGAAUUCCCGGUGUAGCGGUGAAAUGCGUAGAGAUCGGGAGGAACACCAGUGGCGAAGGCGGCCAUCUGGCCCGCAACUGACGCUGAGGGACGAAAGCGUGGGGAGCAAACAGGAGUAGAAACCCUAGUAGUCC
rnacentral:rRNA from 1 species